rnacentral:rRNA from 1 species
CCUACGGGUGGCUGCAGUGGGGAAUAUUGGACAAUGGGCGAAAGCCUGAUCCAGCCAUGCCGCGUGUGUGAAGAAGGCCUUCGGGUUGUAAAGCACUUUCAGUGGGGAAGAAAGCCUUGGGGCUAAUACCCUCGAGGAAGGACAUCACCCACAGAAGAAGCACCGGCUAACUCCGUGCCAGCAGCCGCGGUAAUACGGAGGGUGCGAGCGUUAAUCGGAAUUACUGGGCGUAAGCGCGCGUAGGCGGUCUGAUAAGCCGGUAGUGAAAGCCCCGGGCUCAACCUGGGAACGGCAUCCGGAACUGUCAGGCUAGAGUGCAGGAGAGGAAGGUAGAAUUCCCGGUGUAGCGGUGAAAUGCGUAGAGAUCGGGAGGAAUACCAGUGGCGAAGGCGGCCUUCUGGACUGACACUGACGCUGAGGUGCGAAAGCGUGGGUAGCAAACAGGAUUAAUACCCGGGUAGUC